CAAUCUGCCCUAAAGACUGGGAUACCACUUGGAAACAGGUGCUAAUACUGGAUAACAACAUGAAUCGCAUGAUUCAAGUUUGAAAGGCGGCGCAAGCUGUCACUUUAGGAUGAGCCCGCGGCGCAUUAGCUAGUUUGUGGGGUAAAGGCCUACCAAGGCAAUGAUGCGUAGCCUAGUUGAGAGACUGAUCGGCCACAUUGGGACUGAGACACGGCCCAAACUCCUACGGGAGGCAGCAGCC
rnacentral:rRNA from 1 species